CGAUAAAUACAUCUCACCCCUAUUAAGCAAGUUUUCGUUAGAGUCAUAGUCUAGGGAAUGUAGUAUAUCCUUCGUUGUCUUUUUAAAUUCUAAUUUAGACAAAUUAGUCAUAUUUUGGAGCUUAUUUACUUGACUAAAUAAAUAAGGAAAGCAAAUGCAGGAAAACGUUGAGCAAAUCUGGUCGAUUCGACGUCAUAGCUUUACGGACAGCAUUUUUGUGUUCACUUUUUCGCGGGCGGCGCAGCGAGCGGACGUUAUCAAGAGUGUACACGAUUAUUGUUCUUUGAGGAGUUAUUACCUAAUAAUCAAAGCUAACAUAUUUCCAUAAAUAAUGUCUGACCAAGAGAUGUCUGUGCCGCUGUAUCGGUGCAGGGCCGGCCACUCCUGAUGGGCAGUUAGAGCUGACGGGGAGCCCGCCGACGAUGACAUCGAUAGAUUUAGAGGUCGGGGCUGCAAGUACAUCUGGAGUGGCGGCUAGUUCGUCCUCAACGGCUCAGGGCCGGCGCAUUUUGGAGGCUCGUCGUUCGCUGCUGCAGGACGAUUAUAUUGUCCUGCUACUAGCAGAUUCGGGCAGCGAAGGCGAGUCGGAUGCAGACCAGUCCGACGAGGACACUGAGGAGGCAACUCAAAUGCCGACGAGGGCAAUAACCCACCGUUUGCGUCACGAAGUAAUUGCUAGAACGGAAGGUCUUGAAAUAGAGCAUGAAUUUGAUGUGGAUGAUUUUAUUCCAGACGAAUGUGUGAUGGAUGAGUCGGUGGUAGUGCCAGAGGAUUUGAAUAUGUUGGGGGGGCAUGAACCUGUUGACGUAGGUGAAGUAUUUCAGUGGGCGGAAGACUUCAAUAGUUUUACCGGCCAACAAGAAACUUACUUACGUCAACCUGGGCCAGCAUUUAUUUCUAAUGACCCUACAGAGAUAUUUUUGAGGAUUUGGGACGUGGACGUUAUGGGUCUCAUAGCGUCAGAGACAAAUAAAUACGCAAGGCUAAAUAUUGAACAAUAUAGCAAUCGUCCCACUGUUCCCAAGUAUUUGGGGCAAUGGGCUGAUGUCACUAUAGACGAUUUGUAUAAGUAUUUCGCCUUGCUGAUUGUUUAUUCGUCAUACAAUUAAGUUCUAAAAAUUUUUCUUAUAUUUAUAUAUAAAAAUUUAUAUUUUUAAAAUAAUUGUACUUACUGGUUAUAAAUUUCUAUAAAUA